CUCGGUGGUAAAGUCAGCUGGUGUCCUGGGGCCUGAGCCCUUGCAGAAGCUUCUGGGAGCCGAUCAGCUCCACGUUCAGCGGCGCCACGUUGAAAUGGGCCAUGGUGUAAAAAUUUGCACCACAGGAGAAGGCAAACGAGAAACUUACACGUUUGCAGCAAGACCCCUGAGAAGUGUUCCAGCCCCAAGCAUCCUAAUAUUACCUGCAACUCUUUAGCAUCUUCAAUUAUCCUCCUCUGGGAGAGUCCAAACAGCCAUUUUUAGGCUACUUGGCUGCAUGAGAAGAAGGCAAAACAGAGUGAAAGCUAAUUGCUCCCAAAAACCCCGAAGAAAACUGAUAGAUGUGUGGAAAUAAGGAGACAAAGGACACACUGAAUGGGCCCAUUUCCAUCAGGCAAAAAA
rnacentral:lncRNA from 1 species